CGCAUUGUGUUUGGAGUGAGUGCCUCUUCCCCGCAAUCAAGAGGGCGGCGACUCAGCGUCCUUGGAAGCAUUGUGUUUGGAGUGGGUGCCUCUUCCCGGCAAUCAAAAGACCCUCGGAAGUGAGAUGCGAAGACGGUGCACUUCCUGUGAUGUGCCGCCGAGCGAACCCUGGUCCCUAACUUGAGUCCUUCGUAAAGAAACAGAAAAACAUCAAUCCGCUUCCACACCAAACUAUGGAAUUUUACUUAGUGUGCACAGAAAGCGGGGGAACGCGAACAGCUGCCACGAACACAGGCAGCCUUUCCUGAGAACCCGGUGUGAGGCUGCCCCCUUGUGUUCCCUGGAAUAUGCAACAACACAGAGGAGUACAUAACACUAGAGACCACAUCUCAACUCAUCUUUGGCCACCCCGACUCCAUGCCUCCCUAGUAACCUUCAUUUUGUAAGUUAACUGCAAUCUAUGUUUGUCGCAGCAAAAUUGAAGCAUACAGGAAUGAAGAUCCCCACCAGGUAGACCAUGGUGACUAUAUGCUAAGCACACACACGGAGACCCCAGACUUGCUGGAACCAGAAGGCUGAUGAUGAACAUUCCUGAAACAUCACCUGCUACCUCACCACCAACCAAUCAGAAGAAAGUCAUGUGCCCAUCCCCCAUAACUCUCGCCCCAAAUGUUGCCUUUAAAAGCCUCCUGCCAGUAAGAUGGAUCUGAGACAAACUUACACCUCCCAUCUUCUCGGUCAGUCCCCUCUCCAU